UAUAAAACAUGGGACUACAUGAAGUUAGUUUACAUCAACUUACCAUCGGGAAGGCAAUUCAGAUGGCACACAAUGGUGGUCGUAUCACCAUUGUGUCACAAUCGAACGCAAAUCGAUAUUAACAAAGUAUGUAAUGUUACAGUUAUUGAUUAUUUCACAGUGUAUAGAGGCAACAAAGCAGUGUUGAUCGAGCAUUGAUAAAAUCGAUUGCUUUUAAGCAAACCUGAAAUUACAAAAACCACAAAGCAGGCAGAAAGUGAUGAAGAUGCUAACCGAUAGGGAUUCAGAAGACAGAUGAGGACAGAGACCUGCACCAAUAGACAAUAGGACUGUCCACAUUAGAACGGAGAAGAUGAAGAAGACUGAAGUGUUGUUUCAGAAUGCCACAUUCGUUUAGUUGUCAAAGCAAAUUUUGAAAGUGUUACACAACUAUUUCUUUCAUCGACGAAAUCUGCCCGUGCCAACUUGUCUUCUGUCCGUAAAGCUACAGAAAGGGAGACCAACACAGCUUUUGUAGGAGGCCGGUGAUUUACCCUCAUUCCAGGGUUCCGGUGCUGAACUGCUGGUGUAUGCCAUGACAUCGAAAAGGUCAUUUUUAUCUCUGAUGGGAUAUAUGCUCUUGACCUCACUACCGACGCAGAUUUCCUCUUGUAAAGAUAUAGUUACACCACCAAGAAUACCGAAUAACGGUAAGGUUUUCUCACGUAAAAAAGACGAAAUUAUCCAACAUGGCAAACGAGAGAUUUUUGUCGAAGGGACAUCUGUAUCGCAUGCGACAAAAGUGUAUCUUUUGCGAUGGUAAUUUUAGGUACUCCGAAAACAAUCGUUCGGCCUUGCUGAGACCUGCGAUAGAUAAGUAACUGGUUUAACCCGCACAUAAGCAAUUUUUGUCCCACAACCCAUCGUUAAUAAUCGUAAGUUGCAGGGAUAAAAUAUCUUGUAUCCGGGUCGCUUUAAGAUUUCGUGCUGUUUUUUUUCUUGAAUAAAGGUCUCCCCUAUCACUGUACAUUGACUCAGAAAAAAUUAUACAGGUUAACACUAAUGUGGAUCAGCUCGCCGGCUUCUUUUCUAAAAUCAUGAUGAUCGUUGGUCCGGGGUCCGGGGUAUAGAAGAAAUUAUGAGCGUUACAGGAGCCGAUUCAGGAGUUAUUGCAGCAGACACGCCGUCGGGUGAGGACUCCGUACCUGAUUUACUCCUAAAUUUUGGUCUGAUGUUCAGUAAUGACACGACCAAAUUUUGACUGACUGCUGUCUUUUUUUGCCAGAUCUGAAAUCAUUGCCUUAGGUCACCCGGCUGCAGAGCUGCGCACAAAGUCCGGUCUGUUCUUCAGCACUUAGUGCGAAGUAAAUUGCACAUCCCUUACAGUUGUUCAUUCUUUUGCCUGCUGCAGUGUAUCGACUUUACUACCUGAAUGGCAGCGAUGCCAUGGUGAAAAAUGGACAGUAUGUAUACUCUACAUCAUUUGGUCAUGCUCUUCGAAUGACUGGCGGCAAACAUGAAAACAUCAAUAUCAAACAACGCUUCACGUCAGGGUUACAUCCUAAGCCCUACACUAUCGCUUUUUACGUUAAGGUCAAAUGUAGGCGCAAGCAGCAGUACAUUCUCGAUGAAAUUGAGAAAGGCUACAGGCUCUCCAUUUACCUUGUAUUCAGAGCUCUAGCAGUAGCACACUACGUUCGGAAAAGGGCAUAUUUUACGCAUGCGAAAAUUUCUUGCUUUGACAAACAGGCCGGGUGGCACCUAUUGGCAAUGACUAUCCGCUACAAAAAAGGCGGUAGGUCAUAUAGGGCGAUGGUGUUUUGGGAUGGCUGGGACGUUACUCAAGACACAAAGCUUGGCACUGUCAAUGGGAGAUGGUGGGGAAAUCGACAUUAUCCUUUUCAUCUUGGAGCUGAAGCAUUUGGAAAGCACAAUUGGAAGUUCCAAGGAAAGAUGGCGAGGCUUAUGCUAUUUAAAUGUAUUCUAUCGCAGAAAUUUAUCUUCGAAAAUCUUGGUAGGUAUAUGUUUUCAAACUUGCAAUGCCAGAGGAGGGUGUGACAGUGCUUUACUGCAAUUUUAUCGUUCAAUGGGGGCUGCCUUUAGGCUUUAAGAUUUGACAUAUCAUGGAUUUAUUUCACUGAAGAUAUUCGUUUAAAAUCAGAGAAACACAAAGGAUCAGCACCGCGCGUGCAGUAUCGAGCCCGAAAACUUGGAAAAUAUUGGUUGGCUCGUUGAAGCCCUGGCGUUUUGACCGGAAAGUAGGCUGGCUGUUGUAGCUGCGCACAUUUGACCAAGUUUCCGUCCGUAACGCUAGAGAACGUUGACAUAGGUUCUCUGUCGACUGUCGGCUGUUCAGGCACUGAUCGAGCAGAUCAAGUGAUUUUCUAACUAGAUUAUCUGCGGUAGGUAUCGCUUCAGGCCGACUGAAUCGGUAUGAAUACGAGAAGUGUCCAUUUCUGAUGUGGAAAAAAUUAGAAAAAGAACGUCAUGUGUCACAGACGAGACUUGAGCACAUUGAACACCACUGGUUAGACAUGUAACAUAUGUAUAUCAUCACGUAUAAACUGGAAAAGAAUGAACAACACAAAAUCACCCCAUAUACAUAUAUUAUUUUUAAUCGCAUGGUGCUCAGUUCCAGAAAAGAACCUAGCCAUUUGCAAGAGUUGCUAUUUGAGGCAGGACCAAUACAAACAAAAUGUUACCUCUCUCAUCCCCAUAUACCUGCUAUCAUAAAGUGCAAGCUCUAGUGAACUCACACAACUGUUUGACAUGGGGGUGCCCCCCCCCCACACCCCCAUCCUUCUGACAUGUUUUAGCAAGUGAACUUGGGGGG